UGGGGAAUAUUGGACAAUGGGCGAAAGCCUGAUCCAGCCAUGCCGCGUGUGUGAAGAAGGCCUUUUGGUUGUAAAGCACUUUAAGUGGGGAGGAAAAGCCUAUGGUUAAUACCCAUAAGCCCUGACGUUACCCACAGAAUAAGCACCGGCUAACUCUGUGCCAGCAGCCGCGGUGAUACAGAGGGUGCAAGCGUUAAUCGGAAUUACUGGGCGUAAAGCGCGCGUAGGUGGUUAUUUAAGUCAGAUGUGAAAGCCCCGGGCUUAACCUGGGAACUGCAUCUGAUACUGGAUAACUAGAGUAGGUGAGAGGGGAGUAGAAUUCCAGGUGUAGCGGUGAAAUGCGUAGAGAUCUGGAGGAAUACCGAUGGCGAAGGCAGCUCCCUGGCAUCAUACUGACACUGAGGUGCGAAAGCGUGGGUAGCAAACAGGAUUAGAUACCCUGGUAGUCCACGCCGUAAACGAUGUCUACCAGUCGUUGGGUCUUUUAAAGACUUAGUGACGCAGUUAACGCAAUAAGUAGACCGCCUGGGGAGUACGGCCGCAAGGUUA
rnacentral:rRNA from 1 species